AGCAGCCGCCGCGGUAAUACGUAGGGUGCAAGCGUUAAUCGGAAUUACUGGGCGUAAAGCGUGCGUAGGUGGUGGUUUAAGUCCGUUGUGAAAGCCCUGGGCUCAACCUGGGAAUUGCAGUGGAUACUGGGUCACUAGAGUGUGGUAGAGGAUAGUGGAAUUUCCGGUGUAGCAGUGAAAUGCGUAGAGAUCGGAAGGAACAUCUGUGGCGAAGGCGACUAUCUGGGCCAACACUGACACUGAGGCACGAAAGCGUGGGGAGCAAACAGGAUUAGAUACCCCCGUAGUCCCUGUCUCUUAUAC
rnacentral:rRNA from 1 species